GUCGGAUGGUUACAGUGGAAUUCAUGGCUUGGUGAACAUGUUGUCUGUUUUUGUUCUGCUCAUGGUAGAGAGCUCUUCCACAACUCUUGCACAAAACAGAAAUUCUUUAUGGCAGGCCAGAUGAAGACUUCAGUCAGGUUUAAAAAGGCAGGAAGAUAGUGUUUUACGUUACUGAAAGACCUAGAAAAGAAUCUAUUGCAGAAAAAUAUCAUCAUGCCGUCCUGUGUUAUUUCCGACAGAUGGCAGCGCGAUGCGUUCCAGAUUGAUUUCAAACACACAAGAGAGAAAUAUAUGCGGAAGGAAGAAUGAAGUAUGAUGAAAUCAAGACAAACCUUGCAAGCAUGACACCAUCGCAGCCGCCCUGACACAAGCAUAUUUAAACAAAUUAGAAAUAAGCUGACAUGUUUAUAAUCAUAUCCACACGUACAAAGUACAUGGGGUUAUAUUGGAGUCACGUAUGUCCACCAGUCCGUUCGUACGUCCGUCCAUCGUGUCUGCUUUUAUGAAACUGACAUCAAUUAUUAAUCUCAUGAAUACGGUGUAAAGAGCUCAUAACCAUUGUCACUAGGUCUAAAGUUACGGUUACCCUUUGAGGUCAAGUCAUAAAGUUUCACUUCAUGUCCGCUCCAUAUUGUCUAAAUGGCUUGAAAGGUACUAAGUUCGACUAUAUAAAGAUCUAGAAUAAAGAGAAUUAUUGUACUUGCCUUUCCGUCAAUGUUAAAAUUUUAUGGCAAGCUUGUGUAACUAUAUAUUCUUUACUACUUCCCCUUUUAAAUUUAAACUUUACGUAAGUUUUAGUGCUGGUAAGGGACAGACAUCUCUGGCUUUCUAAACGUCAAGGUCACUGGGUCAAACAUUAAAACAGUGCUGUUUAAAGUUUUAUGACAAACUUCUCAGUUGCACUAUAUCCUCUUACCCAAAGCCCUAUAAUCACCAAACCUUACAUCUUAAGAAGGGGCAAAAGUUUUUAGGUUUAAGAUCAGGUAGGUCAAAGGUCAAUGGCACUCGGGUCAGAUUUUGUAAUAAUGUUCCUUAAAGUUUUAUGGCACGCUUCACAAUUUGACUGAACAAACUCAAUCAAACCGAGUCUGCAAUUUUCACUGCUUGCUUUGUUCUCGGUGCUUCCGAGGGAUCUACUUUCCAGAUUUUAUAACUCAUAUUGUUUCUUUGCACUGGUAUAUCCCACACUGUUAAGCCCUACCUAUACUUUCUAUACCCUAAUCCCGACACCUAGCAACAUACAUUCCUCACACACUUAUAUUUCAUGUUCACCUUAUCUCUUUUACCCACCUGCCUUCACCUACUUCCUACAACACCAUUUUACCACCUGUCGCCGACAACAACAAUUUAUUUUAUAUUUUCUUUAAAAUUAAUUAGAUCGUAAAUUAAUGUAUAUCUUGUAUAUUAUAUGUUUUUAUGAUGUUUAAGUAUCCCUUAUUCCCACACUUCUACUCCCAACCCCACUCGCUUCAAUUUUUUCUUGUAUAUUUUCUACAUCUCACACACAUCACAUCUCAUCUUCCAUCUCCUUUUCUACCACAACACCCACUCUUUGUAUUGCUUUUACAUCUUUCAUACUUGCUUGUAUUUCAUUUGGACUGUUUUCACCCCUCAUAGCCCUUAUCCCUCCCUACACACACUGCUACCACUAACCCUUUUCUUACAUUUCUGACACUGGCUUAUACCUCAUAUUGUUUUUUUAAAUUCGCUCACACCCCCAGCAUCAGCACCCCCUCCCCCUCAACGUAGAUCACUAGGUCCUAGGGCGAAGUCACACUUGAAGGUCAAAAGUCAUUGUGACAAAAUUUUACAUUCCGUUUUCCAAAGCGACCUCUUGGGCAUUGUCACCUUUAUUGAUAGCUUAAAUUGCUCAUGUUUAAGCGUUUUAACCCUAAUUACCAUGCUAAAUUUCUAUAAUGGACUGGUCCAUCUUCCAAUUUGGGCAGUACCAUUUAUCAUUUGAAGGGGUGUUUACGAAAAAUUUACUGACUGAAUAGCGAACAGUGCAGACCAUGAUCAGACUGCACGUAUGUGCAGGCUGAUCUUGGUCUGCACUGGUCGCAAAGGCAGAAUCACUUGCCGCCAGCAAGCUAAGGGUUAAAUGUAUAACAUUAGCUAAACUGUAUUAUGUAUUUGUUAAAUGUAAGUUAAUUUUUAUGAUAAAUAGUUUCUAUAAAAUUGAGGCAAUUAUAUAAUUUUAGAUCGGUGAUACAGUCGAACUAUUUUAGACGAAUCAAAUAUUUCUAGUUUGGUUUGUUACUGGUCUUGAGAUAUCUUUAGUUUUAUCGCAUUAUAUUUAAAAAAUACAUUUAUAAGUACAAUGUUCACAUUUGACUUAGAUACAUAAAGUAUCAGGGGCACCCAGUAUUUGUAAGAAACCAUCUAGAAUAAUGCCGAUUUGGUAAAUUAUUUUAAAAGCAUUUCAAAUAUAACUUAUUUUUAAACUGAACAGGUAUAGUUUUUAAAGAUGAAUAAAUAUGCGCGGAUCAGUUCAUGCACACAAAUAAAAGAAUUUGGGACCGGAGUUUAAGUUUUUGUUUGUUUGUUUGUUUCAGUAUUAGUCGAAAUACAAUCAAUUCUAGAAGCAUCUUCUGAAAAUGUAAACUCUAGUGUUCACGCGUAAAAAAAAUUUCAGUUUUACAAAUAAAUUUUUUUAUUUAUUUUCUUGCACAAUUUAUCCAUGUAGGUCACACGUAAUGUUACGCUUGCUCUUAUGGCAAUAAAUAUGUUGGGGGGAGGGGUGAGUGAUAUAGUUCUACGAGAUUGAUUUCUUUUUUCAUUUUAAUAUAGCUACUUUCUACUUAUGAUUUUGUUAAAAAGAACUUUCCAAUUAUCUGUUAAUCUAAUUCAUAUUCUUUCGCCUUUAAUUGAUGUUGCGUGCAAGUGAAAAUUGUAUUUGGAUUUCCCACUUCUAAGACAGUGGGUUUAUCAGGUUAUAAUGUGUCGUUAUGUUUCAGUAAUGCUCUGAAAAGUUUGACAUAAAAUUUCACACUCUAGUAUAUAACUACAAAAUGUACAAAUAAAAUCAUAACUGUUUUAUUCAAACACAUAUUCUACCGUAUUUUGUCUUGGUCGUCUAAAUGUAACUUUUAAAAGUCAUUUUGGCCUCAUUUCUUGUACACUGAAUUUUACACUAUUUGGCAUAACUCUUAACUGCAUAACUCACAACCGACACCUAACUCUGUAGCACUAACGUUAACGCUUGGGGCUAAAUGACUUUUAAAGCAAUUUUGUCUUUUAAAGGAACAAUGUGUUGAACGUUAAAUGUUUCAAAAAUUUGUAAUGAUCAAAUUUUUAGUAGAAUUGUGGGCAAACUUUUAGGAUUUUAGUUCGGAUUUUUAAAGGAUUACUGAAAUGUACCGUUAGAUUAUAACAUGAUAAACUGAUUGUUUCAAACGGAGAAAAAAUCCAAAUAUGAUUUUCACUAGUGCGGAACUACACUUGAACGCGAAUAUGAAUAGUAAGGACUGAAAAUUCUUCAAAAAGACAAAUAUGUAUAAUAAUAAUUGCUUGCAAAAUCACUAAAAUACAGACAAAACGAUCAUAAUUUAAAAGAAAUGCACUUCUCGUAGACCUAUUAACAUAAGCUUUAUGACGGCAUAAAAUAUAGCGUGACGUUACGCAACUCGCACAUCUCUGUGCGGUGGUAUUAUUAAAUAAAUAAAUAAAUUGUAAGUGAGCUUUUUAUCCGACCAAUGCAAGAAUGUAAUACUGAAUUAUCUUGCACUCGGGAACACCAGACUAAAAUUUACUCAGUGAAAGAUAUUUCGAUCUUGUAAUAAAACAAACAAAUGUCCCCUUUCUAUAUCUUUUUACAUCAGAAGUAGGUAACAAACACUAAUAUUUUGAGGAAUAACGACUAAAAUAUUAAAUGAAUGAAUCUAAGACAGAAAUUAAUACAUUUGUUGCUACAUAUAUUUAUAAUCCCAAGAAGACUGCCUUUUUCACAUCUGAAAAUUUACCAUUUCAAUACUAGUAUGACGUUCACAAUUUCAGUAUCUGUAUUAUUGUUGAGAUAUUUCAUGGUUUAUAAUCCUACGAAGAGUACAUUUUCAGAUUUGAAAAUUAUUUCUUUCUCUCUUAAAAAUCAAGCAUGUCUGCCUUCUGC